CAAGAUUUAAAUCAUACUGGAAAGUCCUGCCCACAUGUUCAAGUGGCCGGAAGCUCAGGUUUUGGUCUUCCUGGGACCAAAGUGAAGAGCUGUUGGACCCCCUCCAUGCUUGCCGCACUCCUCUGAGGCUGCCCUUUCUUCAGUGUGGAGAAGAGAUCAGAGGGAUCUUGAGCAGGAAAGUAUUCAUGAAGACAAAGGAAGAUAAGGUUUGUUGAGGGCCUGCUGUGUCUAAUACGCUGAACCACAUACUCCAUUUGGAGACUAAGUCCCUGGAAGAGAAAAGCCAGGAACUUGGAUGCUGCUUGCCUCCCUGGGUAUUCCUAGGGGUUCUGCCAGAAGAAAUGAGAGAAUCAGGAGUAGUAAAACAAACAAACAAGCAAACAAACAAAAAAACCUGUGAGCCUCUUACAGCCCAGUCCUGAAACAUGAUAACCCAGGGCUUCAGCCUCUCUCCCCAGACAGGAAAGAGUCACAGGAGCUGCUGGCUUUGAAGGAAAUCAGCAGCAGAGACCACACUCUUCCUGCAUGCUGAGGAGUGAUUGCUGUCUAUGCAGAGGGGGGCAACAGGCACCGCUCG
rnacentral:lncRNA from 1 species